UACGUAGGGGGCAAGCGUUGUCCGGAAUUAUUGGGCGUAAAGAGCGUGUAGGCGGCCCGAUAAGUCCGCUGUGAAAGUCCAGGGCUCAACCCUGGGAUGCCGGUGGAUACUGUCGGGCUCGAGUCCGGAAGAGGAGUGUGGAAUUCCUGGUGUAGCGGUGAAAUGCGCAGAUAUCAGGAGGAACACCAAUGGCGAAGGCGCACUCUGGGACGUGACUGACGCUGAGACGCGAAAGCGUGGGGAGCAAACAGG
rnacentral:rRNA from 1 species